GCUCAAGUGAUCCUCCUGCCCCAGCCUGCCAAGUAGCUGGGACUAUAGGUGUGUGCCACCAUGCCCAGCAAAGGCACAUACCAUUAACAAGCCCUUCAAAAUCUGGAUCUACCUCUGAAUACGGGUAAGUAUGCUAAUAGAUCAUUCCAGGAAAUGACCAUAUGCCCCUGAGAAAGGAUGAGAAAGGAGUUGUGGAUCCUGUGUUUCUUUAGGGAAUCUCAGUCACCCCAUCCCUCUGGAGAUGUGAGCAUCUUGCUGUGCUGAGUAUAGUUGUGUUUAAAGAUGUGUUUUCUUUACAAGGUGAUCUCUAGAUAUGAGCCAAUUAUUUCAUCUGGUGCUCAUCCAAAGAAACCACAAUUGUUCUGACACCGGAGGAAAAGCUGACUGCGCUGGAGAAGUGGGGUGUUGGUUUUCAGCGUGGUCACACCUUCCUUAGGGGUUCUCGAGGGGAAUUCUGACUUGUGGGGUUUUUUGCUUUCUUCCUAACUUCAGAUGUAAUGCCACAGUACCUCUCAAAGAGAAACAGUAGUCCAUGAAGGCCAUGCAGUCUAAAUCUCUAUUAAGGAAGAAACACAUUUUAAAAUUUAAAUUCACCAUAAUUUGCACCAUUUUUUCGGCUCACAGUUAAGGGGCAGUGCCAGUUCCCCUCUGGUCAUCCUGGGUUGCAUAUGGGCCGUCUAUCUUUCACAACCAAGCUUUAUCUACACAGAGAUGUGAGCGAAGUUUUGCAAUCAUAGUUUUUCUUUACCUUUUCCUGUUAUCCUUAGCCCAUCAUGUUCUAAAUAGCUUUCUCUGGUGAUCAGAGUAAAGGGAUUUCUCUGUUAUUCUGAGCAAGUAAACACUGAAACAUCAGGGAAAGGGUGAAGUUUGUUUCCGAGUGUAUUUGCGUUCAGCUGGACUCUGUUUUCCUGCACCUGUAGGCCUGAUUCUAUCCUGUGGAGCCACCCAAAAAAGUUCUACACCUUCUGCUUUUCCAGAUAUUUGCAGGUGGGCUUUUGAGCUCCCCCAAACCUUAUUUUCUCCAGUACAAACUUCCUCAGCUUUUCUAGUCAGUGUUUGUAACAUAGUUGAGAGUCUCCUCACCAUUUUAGUCAUCCUUCUUUGAAUUCAUUCCUGUUUAUUAAAACCUGGUGCCGAGAGAGGGAUAUAAUAUUAUCGGGGUGGCUUCCUAGCCCAUAGUAUUGUGGGAUUACCCAUUCCUUUUUUCUCCAUAUUGUUCUUCUAUUAAUGCAUUUUUAGGGUCACAUUAUUUCUACGAUUACUUUAUAGGCUAGUACUCAUUUAUUAAUAAGUUAUUUUUCAGAAAUUCCCAUACUCAAUAUCAAAGGCACUUCCUUGGCAAAGUGACUGUAUUUCUCUCUGUCUCGGUUUCUUCAUCUCCAAAUGGCAAUAAUUAUGAUCCUAUGAGCUCACAGGACUAUUGUGAUGAAUGAAUGAGAUACUCUGGUCAAGCUCAGCCUAAUAAAUAAUAAAGUCACUGUGACUGUCUCUACUUUCUGACUGUGAGUACUGCUACAAGUCCACCCCCACCUCUGCUUGUAGAAAUAAAAAGUGCAGAUUUAUGAGAGGGGAUGGGUCUACCUGGAGUGACUUGAGGAAUACCCAGAAGACCCCGUCCACCUCCUCCUGCUUAGAAUAUGCCUUUUGCUAGCCUGCUGUGAUGCCUGGAAUUUCAUCCUUCACCCAUUGCUGGGCCCACCCACAUAGUUUAAAGCCAAGAUCAGGACAGAGAUGGAGGGAGCUGUCCCCUGGCCACCCUGAUACCUGCUGUUGGAAAUCAACAAACAAACACAAACCCACUUUGCGUUCUGUGAGUGUGCAUGUAUGUUGGUCCCUAGGUGCUGCAGGACAAGAGGAGGGCCAGAAAGCUCUGCCCAUGCCUGGGGAGCAUGCUGGAUCUCCCUUCCAGCUACAGAAGAGUGACUUCAGUCCCCAGCUCCUCUCUCCAUCCACCUUUACUUUCACGGACGCUGACACCCACCUGGACCACUCUGACAACAUCCUGGCUCCCCAACUUCAUCAGACCCUUGCCUUCUUUGAUUUCAGCCACCUCUGAGAUCUGAAAAUUUGCUUUUAUUUAAAAAAUGUCUUAAGUUUACAUAUGUAAAAUUCUUUUUCUGAUGUACAGGUCUAUGGUUUCUUAGACACGCGUGGAUUCUCACAGCCACCACCACAGACAGUACAAGCAACAGUUCCAAUACUCCAGAGAACGCCCUCAUCUCUCCUCACCCCUGCCUUCUGGCAAGCAAUGAGCUGUUCUCUGUUCCUGUAUUUUUGCCUUUUCUAGAAUGCC
rnacentral:lncRNA from 1 species